UACGGGGGGGCAAGCGUUGUUCGGAAUUACUGGGCGUAAAGGCUCGUAGGCGGCCAACUAAGUCAGACGUGAAAUCCCUCGGCUUAACCGGGGAACUGCAUCUGAUACUGGAUGGCUUGAGAUUGGGAGAGGGAUGCGGAAUUCCAGGUGUAGCGGUGAAAUGCGUAGAUAUCUGGAGGAACACCGGUGGCGAAGGCGGCAUCCUGGACCAACACUGACGCUGAGGAGCGAAAGCCAGGGGAGCAAACGGG
rnacentral:rRNA from 1 species